rnacentral:rRNA from 1 species
UACGGCUCAGUAACACGUGGAUAACUGCCCUAAGGAAGGGGAUACCCUCGGGAAACUGAGGAUAAUACCCUAUAGGUUACCGAUGCUGGAAUGCUCGGUAACUCAAAGUUCCGGCGCCUUAGGAUGGAUCUGCGGCCGAUUAGGUAGUUGUUGGGGUAACGGCCCAACAAGCCCGUAAUCGGUACGGGUUGUGGGAGCAAGAGCCCGGAGUUGGAUUCUGAGACACGAAUCCAGGCCCUACGGGGCGCAGCAGGCGCGAAAACUUUACAAUGCGGGCAACCGUGAUAAGGGAACCUCGAGUGCCUGUACAUGCAGAAAAAAMWGGGUGUCUAAAACACACCCAAAGAAAGGGCCGGGCAAGACCGGUGCCAGCCGCCGCGGUAAUACCGGCGGCUCGAGUGGUGGCCACUUUUAUUGGGCUUAAAGCGUUCGUAGCUGGGUUGUUAAGUCUCUUGGGAAAUCCGGCGGCUUAACCGUCGGGCGUCUAAGAGAUACUGGCAAUCUUGGAACCGGGAGAGGUGAGGGGUACUUCGGGGGUAGGAGUGAAAUCCUGUAAUCCUCGAGGGACCACCUGUGGCGAAGGCGCCUCACCAGAACGGCUUGGACAGUGAGGGACGAAAGCUGGGGGAGCAAACCGGUUUAGAUACCCGGGUAGUCCCAGCCGUAAACGAUGUGCGCGCUCUAUCGACGACCACGAGUCGUCGAGGUGCCGAAGGGAAACCGUGAAACGUACCGCCKGG